rnacentral:rRNA from 1 species
UACGUAGGGAGCAAGCGUUGUCCGGAAUCAUUGGGCGUAAAGCGCGCGUAGGCGGCCCCAUAAGUCCGCUGUGAAAGUCAAAGGCUCAACCUUUGAAAGCCGGUGGAUACUGUGGGGCUAGAGUACGGAAGAGGCGAGUGGAAUUCCUGGUGUAGCGGUGGAAUGCGCAGAUAUCAGGAGGAACACCAAUAGCGAAGGCAGCUCGCUGGGACGUUACUGACGCUGAGGCGCGAAAGCGUGGGGAGCGAACAGG